GCCUGUGUGGCAUACUGGUUUGAGUGUUGGACUGUGACUCUGGAGACCAGGUUCGAGUCCUUGCUUGGCCA